ensembl:lncRNA
AUCUGGCUUUGCAAAUGAGUGUAGUCAUUUGGGACGGUUCAAAGGACAGGGUGGCAAGAAAGGCUGCCCCCAUGCCCCAGGUACUCGACUGAAAAGAAGAAUGUAUCCAAUAGGCCCGGAAUGUUUCCCCAGAUUCAGUUCAUUUGGACAGAAGAAUCAGCCCUCAAGACAGCUGUAAAAGUUACAAAGGAAGGAAAAUUGUUGGAGAGAAAAAGAUCCCUGCAGUUCUUAUUCACAAUGAUGGGGAAAGAUAAUCAGAAGAUAACAUUCCCCAGGGAAAGGGGACCUUUUGUGCCUAAGGAAAUCCAGCUGGAUUGUUUGCAGAAGCAAAGACCAAGCCCCUUGGCCAUAGAUCUGUGGGUGUCCCUCCUCCUCCUGCUCAGGAGCUAUCAGAUGGCUAAAGAACGUGUGCCAGGUUAUUGCCAACCCUACAGAGAUCGCCCAAUCCGCUAAUCCCAAUAAGCGAUCUUUGUGCCUGGAAGAAAUGAGCCAGCUGGGGCUGGGACCCCUUGGCCCAUGUCUGGAGAGACGCCCCCAUGAUGGAGGAGAAGCUAAGGCUGACCUCCCAGACCUGAGAGCCAGGGAAGGCCCUUCAGGGCAAUGUUGGCUUCUGUAGGCUACCAAGAAUGAGUAAAGCCUUAGUCAUCCUAACACACUGCACUGCUAUUGUUUUUGUUGGAAAGUUCGAUGUGGUUGUGUUUUAAGUUAAUGGAUCAAAUCAGCGAUAUUAAACGCCAACUUUGUAGUUUAUGAUGUUGGGGGCAAGAUAAUUUAACACCCCAUUGACCUGUUGGCUCUCGGUAAAGAAUCCCCGGGCUUUUUUUUCAUGACUCAAACUUGUGUUUAUGCAACGGUUUAGACGAAGGUUCCAUUCUCGACUGGCCCUGCCCAGGGGAGUCAGCCAGCUCCCUUUCUUCACCCGUGCAUGCCGUGCAUGCUGGACUUCCUGCUGGAGGGCCUCCUCAUCCUCAUCCUCCUCUUCCUCUUCAGUGGCUCCAGGGGCUGAAGCCUCACCUUUCUGGUAUUUCUCGAUGAAGGAGGGAGUCUUCCACCCAUUGUUUGUCUUGGGCUUAGCCAAAGGGAUGGAGAAAUGCUGUGGGCACCCUCUUGGUGCCCUGGAGGUGCAGCGUUCUGAGGAGAGGCCUGCCUUCAGGGCCCAAGAGGGCUGUGCAAAUAGAACCUCUUCGAAGGCCCAGGCCACCCAUAUUUUCAGCUCUCCAUCAUCAGGAAAUCCAGGACAUUGUUCCAGGCAAGGCCUGACUCAUGCCGGUCCCGUGGUUCAGGCUCAGGAUUAGAAUGAAAUGAGACAAUCCCAAUGAGACCGUCAUGCGUUGAUCAGGAGGAGAUUGACUUAAUGGCGGGCAGUUCAGAGGAAUGUGAGAAGCUUGAGGAUCUCUCGUGUCCUCCCACACUGGCCUUUUACCCUGUGGUGACCAGGAGGCUCCUCCCUGUGCCAUACUUAAUGCCCUGGACCUCAAGGAUGGCUCCAUUGCCUUAUAAUGAAACACUGGCCUAACUUGGGUGGGGUAGAUGUCGCCCCUACCAUAGACCACCUCCUGCAAGGAGGUCUGGCUUGUGGACAGCCAGAGAGUUGCCUUGGUAGCCACGGAAUUCACUUAGGGACAGAAGAAGACUUCCUGAGGGGCAGCAGAACCUCUCUGGAGAAUUAGUGGGGGAACAUAGGCAUGAUGAGAAAGUCUGGAUGAAUUGACAUCUGUAUCCAUGUUGAUGGAAACAGAAAUCAUGUCCUCAGUGCUGGGAGGAACCCAGGAAGUGUCCCUGUUCCCAUCACAGAGUUCUGGGGAGCCCUAUCUUCUCCCAUCCAGAUCCACCCUCAUCUACUUCCUCUGCCCCAGACUUGCUUUCCACUGACUGUCAGCUAAGCCUCAUUAAGGUUUUUUAAUUUAACCUCUUACAUCUUGGAUCAAUACUGAGUACUGGUUCCAAGGCAGAAGAGAGCUCAGGGUUAGGCAAUGGGGGUUAAGUGACUUGCCCAGGGUCACACAGUGAGGCAGUGUCUGAGGUCAGAUUUGAACUCAGGACCUCCCAUUUCUAGGCCUGGCCAUUGAGCCACUUAGCUAGAGCAGCUUUGCUAAAGUAUUAACCAAUAAUUAAGAGAGAGGACUGGCCAUACAUUUGGACAUACUUUUGGACCCCAAAGGCACUGGAGUGAACACUGAAUUUAGAGUCAGAAGAAGUGAGUUCCUAUGCCCAAAGAGCUUUAAAAGCCUGCCUGCCCUUUGAUCCAGCCAUAGCACUGCUGGGUUUGUACCCCAAAGAGAUAAUAAGGAAAAAGACAUGUACAAGGAUAUUUAUAGCUGUGCUCUUUGUGGUGGCAAAAAAUUGGAAAAUGAGGGGAUGUCCUUCAAUUGGGGAAUGGCUGAAGAAAUUGUGGUGUCUCUUGGUGAUGGAAUACUAUUGUGCUCACAGGAGUAAUGAACUAGAGGAAUUCCAUGUGAACUAGAAAGACUUGCAUGAACUGAUGCAGAGUGAAAGGAGCAGAACUAGGAAAACAUUGUACACAGAGACUGAUACAUUGUGGUACAAUCAAAUGUAACUGACUUCUUUACUAGUCACAAUGCAAUGACCCAGGACAAUCCUGAGGGACUUGUAAGAAAGAAUGUAUCCACAUCCAGAGGAAGAACUAUGGGAGCAGAAACACAGAAGAAAAACAACUGCUUGAUCACAUGGUUCAAUGGGAAUAUGAUUGGGGAGUUAGACUCUAAGUGAUUGCUCUAUUGCAAAUAAUAAUAUGGAAAUAGGUCUUGAUCAAUGACACAUGUAAAACCCAGUGGAAUUGCUGUUUGGCUAUGGGAGGGGAAGGGAGGAUUGGAGGGAAAGAAGAUGAAUCAUGUAACCAUGGGAAAAUAUUCUAAAUUAAUUAAAUAAAUAAUUUGUAAAAAGAAAGAAAGAAAAAAAG